UUCCAGUACAUGCAGAAUUUUGCUUCGAGCAUGGAUCAAUCUUUGCCACCGCCACCGAUGUUGUUCCCUCCACCUCAACCACCCACAACUACUCCUGUGAGUCACUUGACACAUUGUGCUUAAGAUUGAAUACUUUAAUUUUGACAACUUUAGAUAUUAGCUCAGAAUGUCCUAUCCUAUGUGCAGAAUCAGUCGGCGGCUUCGAAUAAUGAAGACCAAG
rnacentral:lncRNA from 1 species